UUAAAUUUGAAUUUCAAAUAAACAUGAGUAAUUUUUUAGUAUAAGUAUAUCGCAUGCAAUAUUUGGGAAAUACUUAUACUAAAUAUUUAUUCAUUGCUUAUCUGAGAUUCAUGUUUAACUGGGCAUCCUGUA
rnacentral:miRNA from 1 species